rnacentral:rRNA from 1 species
AACGAACGCUGGCGGCAGGCUUAACACAUGCAAGUCGAGCGCCCCGCAAGGGGAGCGGCAGACGGGUGAGUAACGCGUGGGAAUCUACCCAUCCCUACGGAACAACUCCGGGAAACUGGAGCUAAUACCGUAUACGCCCUUCGGGGGAAAGAUUUAUCGGGGAUGGAUGAGCCCGCGUUGGAUUAGCUAGUUGGUGGGGUAAUGGCCUACCAAGGCGACGAUCCAUAGCUGGUCUGAGAGGAUGAUCAGCCACAUUGGGACUGAGACACGGCCCAAACUCCUACGGGAGGCAGCAGUGGGGAAUAUUGGACAAUGGGCGAAAGCCUGAUCCAGCCAUGCCGCGUGAGUGAUGAAGGCCCUAGGGUUGUAAAGCUCUUUCACCGAUGAAGAUAAUGACGGUAGUCGGAGAAGAAGCCCCGGCUAACUUCGUGCCAGCCGCCGCAGUAAUAC